UACGGGGGAGCAAGCGUUGUUCGGAUUUACUGGGCGUAAAGGGCGCGUAGGCGGCGUGACAAGUCACUUGUGAAAUCUCCGAGCUUAACUCGGAAAGGUCAACUGAUACUGUGCGGCUAGAGUGCAGAAGGGGCAACUGGAAUUCUUGGUGUAGCGGUGAAAUGCGUAGAUAUCAAGAGGAACACCUGCGGCGAAGGCGGGUUGCUGGGCUGACACUGACGCUGAGGCGCGAAAGCCAGGGGAGGCGAACGGG
rnacentral:rRNA from 1 species